GGCUUUGCCCAGUGGCAGUAUUGCACCCAAUGAAGUUUAUCCAAGGUGCGAUUAUUGCUAAUUGAACACAAGACUCAGCGCAGGCCAGGGUGGCCCUUUUCACCUCAGGAAACUCAUGCUGACCUUCAAUAUCUGUGAUCAGGGAGGAGGCUCUUCUG
rfam:Fukomys damarensis contig81049, whole genome shotgun sequence.